GACAAGGCGGGCAAUCCACCAGCGGGAGCGUUGGCAGGCCCGGGGUCAGAUCCUGAUUCAGCCAGUUAAUUGCUUGUGGAUGGCAGAGCUGUGUGUUGUCCGUGGUCAGACACACAGGAAGUCUGAAUUGUUAUCCUGCUCUGCCACUGAAAUGUGUAAAAUAUAAGGGAAGUGUCCCAAGUCAUUUUUCUAAAAGCAUCAUCCAACUAU
rnacentral:lncRNA from 1 species